rnacentral:rRNA from 1 species
UAGGGAAUCUUCGGCAAUGGACGAAAGUCUGACCGAGCAACGCCGCGUGAGUGAAGAAGGUUUUCGGAUCGUAAAACUCUGUUGUUAGAGAAGAACAAGGACGUUAGUAACUGAACGUCCCCUGACGGUAUCUAACCAGAAAGCCACGGCUAACUACGUGCCAGCAGCCGCGGUAAUACGUAGGUGGCAAGCGUUGUCCGGAUUUAUUGGGCGUAAAGCGAGCGCAGGCGGUGUCUUAAGUCUGAUGUGAAAGCCCCCGGCUCAACCGGGGAGGGUCAUUGGAAACUGGGAGACUUGAGUGCAGAAGAGGAGAGUGGAAUUCCAUGUGUAGCGGUGAAAUGCGUAGAUAUAUGGAAGAACACCAGUGGCGAAGGCGGCUCUCUGGUCUGUAACUGACGCUGAGGCUCGAAAGCGUGGGGAGCAAACAGG